rnacentral:rRNA from 1 species
GACGAACGCUGGCGGCGUGCCUAAUACAUGCAAGUAGAACGCUGAAGGAGGAGCUUGCUUCUCUGGAUGAGUUGCGAACGGGUGAGUAACGCGUAGGUAACCUGCCUGGUAGCGGGGGAUAACUAUUGGAAACGAUAGCUAAUACCGCAUAACAGUAGAUAUCGCAUGAUAGCUGCUUGAAAGGUGCAAUUGCACCACUACCAGAUGGACCUGCGUUGUAUUAGCUAGUUGGUGAGGUAACGGCUCACCAAGGCGACGAUACAUAGCCGACCUGAGAGGGUGAUCGGCCACACUGGGACUGAGACACGGCCCAGACUCCUACGGGAGGCAGCAGUAGGGAAUCUUCGGCAAUGGACGGAAGUCUGACCGAGCAACGCCGCGUGAGUGAAGAAGGUUUUCGGAUCGUAAAGCUCUGCUGUAAGAGAAGAACGAGUGUGAGAGUGGAAAGUUCACACUGUGACGGUAUCUUACCAGAAAGGGACGGCUAACUACGUGCCAGCAGCCGCGGUAAUACGUAGGUCCCGAGCGUUGUCCGGAUUUAUUGGGCGUAAAGCGAGCGCAGGCGGUUAGAUAAGUCUGAAGUUAAAGGCUGUGGCUUAACCAUAAUACGCUUUGGAAACUGUUUAACUUGAGUGCAAGAGGGGAGAGUGGAAUUCCAUGUGUAGCGGUGAAAUGCGUAGAUAUAUGGAGGAACACCGGUGGCGAAAGCGGCUCUCUGGCUUGUAACUGACGCUGAGGCUCGAAAGCGUGGGGAGCAAACAGG